CAUACUGGGCUCCACGCCUCCUGUCUUCUUUACCUGAUCCACGGGACCCCUCAACUUUCCUGCCCCGCCUCUUCCAGAACCUCCUGCUCUUCCUGUGGGCCCUGCUGAACUGCAGUUUGGGGGUCAGUGCUCAGUAGGGUCCGGGCGAGUGGACCCCGUGGGUGUCCUGGACCCGCUGCUCCAGCUCCUGCGGGCGUGGCGUCUCCGUGCGCAGCCGGCGCUGCCUCCGGCUUCCUGGGGAAGAACCGUGCUGGGGAGACUCCCACGAGUACCGCCUCUGCCAGUUGCCAGACUGCCCCCCAGGGGCUGUGCCCUUCCGAGACCUACAGUGUGCCCUGUACAAUGGCCGCCCUGUCCUGGGCACCCAGAAGACCUACCAGUGGGUGCCCUUCCAUGGGGCGCCCAACCAGUGUGACCUCAACUGCCUGGCUGAGGGGCACGCCUUCUACCACAGCUUCGGCCGAGUCCUGGACGGCACCGCCUGCAGCCCGGGUGCCCAGGGGGUCUGCGUGGCUGGCCGCUGCCUUAGCGCCGGCUGUGAUGGGUUGCUGGGCUCGGGUGCCCUCGAGGACCGCUGCGGCCGCUGCGGAGGCGCCAACGACUCGUGCCUUUUUGUGCAGCGCGUGUUUCGUGACGCCGGUGCCUUCGCUGGGUACUGGAACGUGACCCUGAUCCCCGAGGGCGCCAGACACGUCCGCGUGGCGCACCGGAGCCGCAACCACCUGGCGCUGAUGGGGGGCGAUGGCCGCUACGUGCUUAAUGGGGACUGGACGGUCAGCCCACCGGGGACCUACGAGGCGGCCGGCACGCAUGUGGUCUACACCCGCGACACAGGGCCCCAGGAGACAUUGCAAGCAGCCGGGCCUACCUCCCACGACCUGCUCCUACAGGUCCUCUUGCAGGAGCCCAACCCUGGCAUCGAGUUUGAGUUCUGGCUCCCUCGGGAGCGCUACAGCCCCUUCCAGGCUCGUGUGCAGGCCCUGGGCUGGCCCCUGAGGCAGCCGCAGCCCCGGGGGGUGGAGCCUCAGCCCCCCGCAGCCCCUGCUGUCACCCCUGCACGGACCCCAACCCUGGCCCCAGGUGAGGUGGGGACAGCCAGGGUGGGGGAUGAGUGGGGACUGAGGCCUGUGCCCCUCACAGCACCGCCCGUCCCACAGACCCCUGCCCACCCUGCCCUGACACCCGAGGCCGCGCCCACCGACUGCUCCACUAUUGCGGCAGUGACUUUGUGUUCCAGGCCCGAGUGCUGGGCCGCCACCGCCAGGCCCAGGAGACCCGCUAUGAGGUGCGCAUCCAGCUCGUCUACAAGAACCGCUCGCCACUGCGGGCACGCGAGUACGUGUGGGCGCCAGGCCACUGCCCCUGCCCGAUGCUGGCACCCUACCGGGACUACCUGAUGGCUGUCCAGCGUCUUGUCAGCCCCGACGGCACACAGGACCAGCUGCUGCUGCCCCACGCCGGCUACGCCCGGCCCUGGAGCCCUGCGGAGGACAGCCGCAUACGCCUGACUGCCCGGCGCUGUCCUAGCUGAGCCCCCGCAGGAGCCCUGGCCACACACAGCAAGAAAGAUACAUCUGACCAGUCUCAACGUCAACGUAUUUCCCCUCUCACCCUGGCUUCCAGGCAGCUCUGAAAUAUGUCCCACCUGUGCAGCUACGUGACUCCCUCCCGCACACGCU
rnacentral:sRNA from 1 species